GAUGAACGUUGGCGGCGUGCCUAAUACAUGCAAGUCGAACGGAGAUUGUAGCAAUACGGUCUCAGUGGCGAACGGGUGAGUAACGCGUUGGUGACCUGCCCCGAAGUGUGGAAUAACAGAUCGAAAGAGCUGCUAAUACCGCAUAAUAUCCAGAGGACUAGAUGCCUUUGGAUUAAAGGAUUUAUUCGCUUCGGGAGGGGCCUGCGUCCCAUCAGCUAGUUGGUAAGGUAAAGGCUUACCAAGGCUAUGACGGGUAGGGGACCUGAGAGGGUGGCCCCCCACAAUGGAACUGAAACACGGUCCAUACACCUACGGGUGGCAGCAGUAGGGAAUAUUAGUAAUGGGCGAAAGCCUGAACUAGCAACGCCGCGUGUGCGAAGAAGGCCUUCGGGUUGUAAAGCACUUUUGUAGAGGAUGAGGAAGGACGGGUACUCUCAGAAUAAGUCUCGGCUAACUACGUGCCAGCAGCCCGGUAAUCUGUAGUCGU
rnacentral:rRNA from 1 species